rnacentral:rRNA from 1 species
GGAAAGGCGCGCGAUACAGGGUGACAGCCCCGUACACAAAAAUGCACAUGCUGUGAGCUCGAUGAGUAGGGCGGGACACGUGGUAUCCUGUCUGAAUAUGGGGGGACCAUCCUCCAAGGCUAAAUACUCCUGACUGACCGAUAGUGAACCAGUACCGUGAGGGAAAGGCGAAAAGAACCCCGGCGAGGGGAGUGAAAAAGAACCUGAAACCGUGUACGUACAAGCAGUGGGAGCACGCUUAGGCGUGUGACUGCGUACCUUUUGUAUAAUGGGUCAGCGACUUAUAUUCUGUAGCAAGGUUAACCGAAUAGGGGAGCCGAAGGGAAACCGAGUCUUAACUGGGCGUUAAGUUGCAGGGUAUAGACCCGAAACCCGGUGAUCUAGCCAUGGGCAGGUUGAAGGUUGGGUAACACUAACUGGAGGACCGAACCGACUAAUGUUGAAAAAUUAGCGGAUGACUUGUGGCUGGGGGUGAAAGGCCAAUCAAACCGGGAGAUAGCUGGUUCUCCCCGAAAGCUAUUUAGGUAGCGCCUCGUGAAUUCAUCUCCGGGGGUAGAGCACUGUUUCGGCAAGGGGGUCAUCCCGACUUACCAACCCGAUGCAAACUGCGAAUACCGGAGAAUGUUAUCACGGGAGACACACGGCGGGUGCUAACGUCCGUCGUGAAGAGGGAAACAACCCAGACCGCCAGCUAAGGUCCCAAAGUCAUGGUUAAGUGGGAAACGAUGUGGGAAGGCCCAGACAGCCAGGAUGUUGGCUUAGAAGCAGCCAUCAUUUAAAGAAAGCGUAAUAGCUCACUGGUCGAGUCGGCCUGCGCGGAAGAUGUAACGGGGCUAAACCAUGCACCGAAGCUGCGGCAGCGACGCUGAUGCGUUGUUGGGUAGGGGAGCGUUCUGUAAGCCUGCGAAGGUGUGCUGUGAGGCAUGCUGGAGGUAUCAGAAGUGCGAAUGCUGACAUAAGUAACGAUAAAGCGGGUGAAAAGCCCGCUCGCCGGAAGACCAAGGGUUCCUGUCCAACGUUAAUCGGGGCAGGGUGAGUCGACCCCUAAGGCGAGGCCGAAAGGCGUAGUCGAUGGGAAACAGGUUAAUAUUCCUGUACUUGGUGUUACUGCGAAGGGGGGACGGAGAAGGCUAUGUUGGCCGGGCGACGGUUGUCCCGGUU